rnacentral:rRNA from 1 species
AGAGUUUGAUCCUGGCUCAGGACGAACGCUGGCGGCGCACCUCAUGCAUGCAAGUCGAGCGACGAAACCUUCGGUGGUAACACCGGAGGCUGAAAGCGGCGAACGGGUGAGUAACACGUGAGGAACCUGCCCUGGACUCUGGGACAACAGCGGGAAACCGCUGCUAAUACCGGAUACUCCAUCGAGAUCGCAUGGUCACGAUGGGAAAGCUCCGGCGGUCCAGGAUGGCCUCGCGACCUAUCAGCUUGUUGGUGGGGUAAUGGCCCACCAAGGCAGCGACGGGUAGCUGGUGUGAGAGCAUGACCAGCCACAUUGGGACUGAGACACGGCCCAGACUCCUACGGGAGGCAGCAGCAGGGAAUCUUGCGCAAUGGGCGAAAGCCUGACGCAGUGACGCCGCGUGAGGGAUGAAGGCCUUCGGGUUGUAAACCUCUUUCAGGAGGGACGAAGCGAAAGUGACGGUACCUCCAGAAGAAGCCCCGGCCCAACUACGUGCCAGCAGCCGCGGUAACACGUAGGGGGCGAGCGUUGUCCGGGAUUUAUUGGGCGUAAAGAGCGUGUAGGCGGUUCGGUUAGUCGGAUGUGAAAUUCCGGGGCUCAACCCCGGAACGCCAUUCGAUACUGCCGGACUAGAGGCAGGUAGGGGAGAGUGGAAUACCUGGUGUAGCGGUGAAAUGCGCAGAUAUCAGGUGGAACACCGGUGGCGAAGGCGGCUCUCUGGGCCUGUCCUGACGCUGAGACGCGAAAGCGUGGGUAGCGAACAGGAUUAGAUACCCUGGUAGUCCACGCCGUAAACGAUGGGUGCUAGGUGUGGGUCGCUAUCGACGCGAUCCGUGCCGCAGCUAACGCAUUAAGCACCCCGCCUGGGGAGUACGGCCGCAAGGCUAAAACUCAAAGGAAUUGACGGGGACCCGCACAAGCGGCGGAGCAUGUGGCUUAAUUCGAGGCAACGCGAAGAACCUUACCUGGGUUUGACAUCAGGGGAAAAGCUGCAGAGAUGCAGUGUCCGUAAGGGCCCCUGACAGGUGGUGCAUGGCUGUCGUCAGCUCGUGCCGUGAGGUGUUGGGUUAAGUCCCGCAACGAGCGCAACCCCCGUCCUUAGUUGCCAGCACGUAAUGGUGGGGACUCUAGGGAGACUGCCGUCGCCAAGCCGGAGGAAGGUGGGGAUGACGUCAAGUCAUCAUGCCCCUUAUGUCCAGGGCUGCACACAUGCUACAAUGCCGGCCACAGCGGGCUGCGACCCCGCAAGGGUGAGCGAAUCCCAAAAAAGCCGGCUAAGUUCGGAUCGGGGACUGCAACUCGACCCCGUGAAGUCGGAGUCGCUAGUAAUCGCGGAUCAGCAACGCCGCGGUGAAUACGUUCCCGGGUCUUGUACACACCGCCCGUCACACCACGAAAGUCGGUAACACCCGAAGCCAGUGGCCCAACCGCAAGGAGGGAGCUGUCGAAGGUGGGAUCGGCGAUUGGGGUGAAGUCGUAACAAGGUAACC